rnacentral:rRNA from 1 species
AUUGAACACUGGCGGCAGGCUUAACACAUGCAAGUCGAGCGAGCGGCGGCCGGGUGAGUAAUGUCUGGGCAACUGCCUGAUGGAGGGGGAUAACUACUGGAAACGGUAGCUAAUACCGCAUACCAUCAGAUGUGCCCAGAUGGGAUUAGCUAGUAGGUGGGGUAAUGGCUCACCGAGGCGACGAUCCCUAGCUGGUCUGAGAGGAUGACCAGCCAAACUGGAACGGAGACACGGUCCAGACUCCGACGGGAGGCAGGAGUGGGGAAUAUGGCACAAUGGGCGCAAGCCGGAUGCAGCCAGGCCGCGUGUAUGAAUAAGGCCUUCGGGUUGUAAAGCACUUUCAGCGAGGAGGCGUUACUCGCAGAAGAAGCACCGGCUAACUCCGUGCCAGCAGCCGCGGUAAUUC